AACGCAGCAACCGCAAGAUAUCCCAUGCCGGAGAACCGGAUCAGAAUUCGGUCCAUGUCCUUCGGUCCGACGUUAAGAUCCGUUCCGAGAUAGCGAUGCAGGAUCAACGCCAAUGGAAUAAGGCCGCCGAGCCAGGCUCCGGCAGCGAGAAGGUGUAUGGCAUCGGCAACAAUGUGCACGACGCCAGCCCAGCCGUCCUCAAUCUGAGCGUGACCCGUCCCGGCCAACGACGCCAAAAGGAUUGCGGCCAGGAGCGGCAUCAUCCAGUUCUGGUGAUGCGCCGCCACCUUC
rnacentral:misc_RNA from 1 species